rnacentral:misc_RNA from 1 species
UCAAACUUGGUCAUUUAGAGGAAGUAAAAGUCGUAACAAGGUUUCCGUAGGUGAACCUGCGGAAGGAUCAUUACGGUACGCUCCGGGGGGGUGUUCGGGCCGCGCGCCGGCCCGCAUCCCCCUGCUGGAGGCACCUUCCGGUGCUUGGCAGCGCGUAACCCCUUGCGAAAUCCCGCGCCGCGUGGCUUUGGCGGGCCCCCCUCCCUCCCGGGGGGCGGUAAGCCCGCCGGCGGCGUCACGGAAACCCGAUUCUGAAGAAACCUCCGAAAAGGCACAGUCGAAUGACUACAAAACUUUCAACAACGGAUCUCUUGGUUCCCGCAUCGAUGAAGAACGCAGC